GACGAACGCUGGCGGCGUGCUUAACACAUGCAAGUCGAACGGAAAGGCCCUGCUUUUGUGCGGUGCUCGAGUGGCGAAGGGGUGCGUGUCACGUGAGUAACCUGCCCUUGUCUUUGGGGUAACUUCAGGAAACUGGGGCUAAUACCGGAUAGGAGCUCCUGCUGCAUGGUGGGGGUUGGAAAGUUUCGGCGGUGGGGGAUGGACUCGCGGCUUAUGAGCUUGUUGGUGGGGUAGUGGCUUACCCAGCCUUUGACGGGUAGCCGGCUCGGGAGGGUGACCGGGCACCUGGGGACUGCGGUACGGCCCAGACUGGAACGGGAGGCAGCAGUGGGGAAUAUGGCACAAUGGGCGGACGUCUGAUGCAGCAACGCUGGGGGCGUGAAGACGGCCUUUGGGUUAUAAAACGCUGUCGCCUGUGACGAAGCGUUAGUGACGGUAAUGGGUAAAGAAGCACCGGCUAACUACGUG
rnacentral:rRNA from 1 species